GCUAAUCUGUGCAUUGGGAGAUGGAUUUUCUCGAAUCUCUGCCCAGGCUUGGACCAACAGUCAUUGCACAAUCCAUAGUACCAACUGAGUGAACCAGAGCCAAGAGGAUCCCACCCAUGUCCAGUCCUGAUGGGAACAGAGUCACCAUUUAUGGGUUACUUGCAAAGUGGGAUACCACAGUGCUUCAAGUGAAGACUCUAGAAUCUGCCUGUGUUUGCAUCUGGCUUUGCUUCUUAUUACCAAUGUGACUUUGGGCAUGUUCCGUAGCUUCCUUGUCUCCUGGAUUGAAUGGCAACAAACUCUUCUUCACAGCGUUUUGAGCUGUCUCAUCUUUUCUGUCCUUACAUUCAUGAGGGGUCCCUGUGUGCAGGACACCCACCCAACAACUGCAACCUUUUCUGUCAGGUGCAGGAAAGCUCAGCAGACAGAAGGAG
rnacentral:lncRNA from 1 species